AAAAAAAUAAAAAAGAAAACCCUUGGAAAGCAAGAGAGAGAGAAAGAAAGAGAGAUGGAGAAAGAGAUGGAGAGAGAGAAAAAAAUAAAUCAUAAAAAGAGAAAAUUGACUCGUAGAAAAUUAUUGACUUCGAGGGGUGGUGGUGGGAAUAAAAAAGGCACCGGAGGAAGUGUCUUGAAUGAUAAUAAAAAUUAAUAAAUUAAUAAAUAAAUAAAUAAAUAAAUCGAUAAAUAAAUAAAUUAAUUAAUUAAAUAAGAUAAAAGAAAGUGAGAGUUUUUGUAUUUUAAUUUUAAAUAAUACGCACGCAAUUGAACGAAAGUAACGAAAAUAAAUUGAUUCUCGGCAUUGUAAAUUAAAAAAGAGAAGGAGAAGAAGGAAAGAAGUAGAAGAAGAAGAAGACGAAGACAA